rnacentral:rRNA from 1 species
CCUACGGGAUGCAGCAGUAGGGAAUCUUCGGCAAUGGACGAAAGUCUGUCCGAGCAACGCCGCGUGAGUGAAGAAGGUUUUCGGAUCGUAAAACUCUGUUGGUAGAGAAGAACGUUGGUGAGAGUGGAAAGCUCAUCAAGUGACGGUAACUACCCAGAAAGGGACGGCUAACUACGUGCCAGCAGCCGCGGUAAUACGUAGGUCCCGAGCGUUGUCCGGAUUUAUUGGGCGUAAAGCGAGCGCAGGUGGUUUAUUAAGUCUGGUGUAAAAGGCAGUGGCUCAACCAUUGUAUGCAUUGGAAACUGGUAGACUUGAGUGCAGGAGAGGAGAGUGGAAUUCCAUGUGUAGCGGUGAAAUGCGUAGAUAUAUGGAGGAACACCAGUGGCGAAGGCGGCCUGCUGGACAUUAACUGACGCUGAGGAGCGAAAGCGUGGGGAGCAAACAGGAUUAGAUACCCGUGUAGUC